GUUUAUGAUCAUACUACCUUAAAAGUGUCUGAUCUCUUCUGAUCUCAAAAGCUAAGCUGAGUUGGACCUGGUUAGUACUUGAAUGGGAAACAGAUUAAGAAUGUCAUUUUUUGCU
rnacentral:rRNA from 1 species